UCCGUAGCUGAACCUGCGGAGGGAUCAUUG
rnacentral:rRNA from 1 species